AAACUGCUUACGCCUGGGGCGGAAAUUCUGUGCCUCAGGCGGAAAACGUUACUUUUGAUCAGUUUUAUAAAAGGGAAACAUGAGAUCUGGAUCAUUAUCGAAUUUUUACACAAAAGAACAGCUGUUGGAGCGAUUUUGGAGGAUCAAGAGCGACCAAGCAAGGAUUCCAGUGUGGAAACACAUCAAGAUUCUUCUUGUAAUCAUGCUUUCUUUCAUUUUAUUUGAUGUAAUUUUUGAAUUUGCAAUGUCUAGCUAAAUUCUCAUGAUUGGUCCUUAGGUGAUUCUAAUUACUUUUGAUCUUGAAUUAUGUGAUUGUCAUAUGAUAUGAAUAAUGAAUUACGAA
rnacentral:lncRNA from 1 species